AGAGUUUGAUCAUGGCUCAGGACGAACGCUGGCGGCGUGCCUAAUACAUGCAAGUCGAGCGGUUGAAGCCUUCGGGCUGAGAUAGCGGCGGACGGGUGAGUAACACGUAGGUAACCUGCCUGACAGACUGGGAUAACUACCGGAAACGGUAGCUAAGACCGGAUACGCCAACAAGGGGGCAUCCCCGGGUUGGGAAAAGCGGAGCAAUCUGCUACUGAUAGAUGGACCUGCGGCGCAUUAGCUAGUUGGUGAGGUAGAGGCUCACCAAGGCGACGAUGCGUAGCCGACCUGAGAGGGUGAACGGCCACACUGGGACUGAGACACGGCCCAGACUCCUACGGGAGGCAGCAGUAGGGAAUCUUCGGCAAUGGACGAAAGUCUGACCGAGCAACGCCGCGUGAGUGAUGAAGGUUUUCGGAUCGUAAAACUCUGUUGCCAGGGAAGAAUGAUCAGGAGAGUAACUGCUCUUGAUGUGACGGUACCUGAGAAGAAAGCCCCGGCUAACUACGUGCCAGCAGCCGCGGUAAUACGUAGGGGGCAAGCGUUGUCCGGAAUUAUUGGGCGUAAAGCGCGCGCAGGCGGUCCAUUAAGUCUGGUGUAUAAACCAAGGGCUCAACCUUUGGACGCAUUGGAAACUGAUGGACUGGAGUGUAGGAGAGGAAAGUGGAAUUCCACGUGUAGCGGUGAAAUGCGUAGAGAUGUGGAGGAACACCAGUGGCGAAGGCGACUUUCUGGCCUAUAACUGACGCUGAGGCGCGAAAGCGUGGGGAGCAAACAGGAUUAGAUACCCUAGUAGUCC
rnacentral:rRNA from 1 species